rnacentral:rRNA from 1 species
GCGAGUCUUUGGGUCUGCCACGUAGCAGCUAAACCCGAACACGGCGCAAUGAAAGUAAAGGCACGUCCGCAACGCGCGGAGGGUUUAAACUCGCGUGGGUUUUUAACUCGCGCGGGGGGCCCUCUCGUCGCCUGCGACGGCUGAGGCGGGAUCCUCGUGGCGUAGAAAUGUAAAACACACGAGCUUAGCGGUGAGCUUCCUCCCUUUUGCCCGACACCCGUCGCUUCCGGCGGCGGUGAGGGUUUGGGGGGCGGCGUUUGGAGCCGCGGCCGCGUCACUUAACCGGGCACGUUUGACACGGUUUUCGGCGGACGUUCCCCCACUUCCCGCAAGGAACGGGCGCUCUUCGUUUCCCUCUUUUAACGUCGCUCGCACGCCACUAGAGCGGCGGAGGGUUUCAAAAAGGAGAUGUCUCGCUCGGGGGUGAUUGCUUGACACGGGGCACAAACGCGUCCGAUUUCCGACGGCCCGGAGGCGCACCGCCGGCCCGCUUUGACCGCCCUCGGUGUUCUUCUCCUGCGUCCAGCGGCCCUUUUUCCGCCUCCCUUUUUCCCUCCCUCACGGGGGGGUCGGGGUCGUCGGUUGGGGUGACAAGCAGCGCAGGAAGCCCGAAAGUCGGUGAAGCGGAGCAAGAGCACACACGUUGGGACCCGAAAGAUGGUGAACUAUGCCCGGGCAGGACGAGGCCAGAGGAAACUCUGGUGGAGGUCCGUAGCGAUUCUGACGUGCAAAUCGAUCGUCGGACCUGGGUAUAGGGGCGAAAGACUAAUCGAACCAUCUAGUAGCUGGUUCCCUCCGAAGUUUCCCUCAGGAUAGCUGGUGCUCGGGAAAUUCAGUUUCAUCCGGUAAAGCGAAUGAUUAGAGGCCUUGGGGCCGAAACGACCUCAACCUAUUCUCAAACUUUCAAUGGGUGAGAAGUCCGGCUUGCUUAAAAGGCACGAUUGCCCGGCUCGUCACGCUCGAACCUCGAAUGCCUCUAGAGUGCGUAGAGCGGUCGCCGGUGUUUCUCUCGUGUUUGAAGCACGGACGACGAAUGAGAGUGCCCAGUGGGCCACUUUUGGUAAGCAGAACUGGCGCUGUGGGAUGAACCAAACGCCGGGUUACGGCGCCCAAUGCAGACGCUCAUCAGAGCCCAUGAAAGGUGUUGGUUGCUAUUGACAGCAGGACGGUGGCCAUGGAAGUCGGAANNNNNNNNNNNNNNNNNNNNNNNNNNNNNNNUUCCAUGUGACCAGCAGUCGAACAUGAGUCAGUCGUCCGUAAGGAAUAGGGGAAACCCGUUCCGAAAGUCGGGGAGUUUGUGUGCGUGCGUGUGUGUGUAGUGUGCGUUCGUUCGGUUGACCGGCGGGCGCAUUCCAUCACUCGUCACAUUACUAUCUCUCUCCUCGGCGCCGCCGCUCUAAAAAGCAGCAGCAACAGUGUAGCCAAAUGGCACGUCCUCUGAAUAGGGACGCUGUGCGAGAUUCUGUGUGGUGGCGUCCGGUGGUGUUUGUGUGCGUGUGCAGUGGUGGUGUUGUCGUGCAAGCAUGCUCGUGCGUGCGUUCGCGCGUGGUGGUGGUGGUGGUGGUAAUAACUGCUGCUGCUGCUGCUUCCGCGUUCGUACUGUUCGCGUGCCGAAUCGAUGACAUCCCAUAACAAAAUCACGUUUUGCAGUGCCCCGACGUACCGAAAGGGAAUCGGGUUAAUAUUCCCGAACCAGUAUGCGGAGAUCGCCCCUCGCGGGGCCGAAGCGGUAACGCCUAAACGAACUCGGAGACGUCGGCGGGAGUCCCGGGAAGAGUUUUCUUUUCUUUGUAAGGGACUGAGUCCAUGGAAUCGGCUCGACCGGAGAUAUGGAUGUUGUCCCCGUAAAGCACCGCGGCUCUUGCGGUGUCCGGUGCACUCUCGUCGGCCCUUGAAAAUCCGAGGGAGAGACAAUGAUUUCCGCAACUGGCCGUACCCAUAUCCGCAGCAGGUCUCCAAGGUGAACAGCCUCUAUUCGAUAGAAC